rnacentral:rRNA from 1 species
UACGUAGGGGGCAAGCGUUGUCCGGAAUCAUUGGGCGUAAAGAGCGUGUAGGCGGCCCGGUAAGUCCGCUGUGAAAGUCCAGGGCUCAACCCUGGAAUGCCGGUGGAAACUGUCGGGCUAGAGUCCGGAAGAGGCGAGUGGAAUUCCUGGUGUAGCGGUGAAAUGCGCAGAUAUCGGGAGGAACACCAAUGGCGAAGGCAGCUUGCUGGGACGGUACUGACGCUGAGGCGCGAAAGCGUGGGGAGCAAACAGG